AGGAUUACUGUUUCCAGCUGGCUUCCUGGGACUGUCCGUUCUGCUUGUUCUGUAUCUGCAACCUCAUUAAAGCCUCAGUUUACUCGCUACUGAAUCCGCUUCCGUUUUUGCCGUGACAUGAGAAUAUUGCCCAGAGCAUCACACUGCCUCCACCAGCUUGCCUUCUUAUAGUGCACCCUGGUGCCAUCUCUUCCCCAGGUGGACAGGGGUCAGCAUUGGCUACGCAGCCCCAUGCACUGUGUCCUGACACCUUUCUAUCAUAACCAGCAUUAACUUUUUCAGCAAUUUGUGCUACAGUAAUUCUUCUGUGGGAUUGGACCAGAUGGGCUAGCCUUCUCUCCCCACACGCAUUAGUGAGCCUUGGGAGCCCAUGACCCUGUUGCCAGUUCACCGGUUGUCCUUCCUUGGACUACUUUUGUUAGGUAUUAACCACUGCAUACUGGGAACACCCAACACGAUCUGCCAUUGUAUAUAAUAAUACACUAUUUGCAUUGAUAAAUGUAUACAGAAUGUAUAGGCCAUCUCUAUUCAUAAAAAAAAAAAAAUCAGU